CCUACGGGAGGCAGCAGUAGGGAAUCUUCCACAAUGGGCGAAAGCCUGAUGGAGCAACGCCGCGUGGGUGAAGAAGGUCUUCGGAUCGUAAAACCCUGUUGUUAGAGAAGAAAGUGCGUGAGAGUAACUGUUCACGUGUCGACGGUAUCUAACCAGAAAGCCACGGCUAACUACGUGCCAGCAGCCGCGGUAAUACGUAGGUGGCAAGCGUUAUCCGGAUUUAUUGGGCGUAAAGGGAACGCAGGCGGUCUUUUAAGUCUGAUGUGAAAGCCUUCGGCUUAACCGGAGUAGUGCAUUGGAAACUGGGAGACUUGAGUGCAGAAGAGGAGAGUGGAACUCCAUGUGUAGCGGUGAAAUGCGUAGAUAUAUGGAAGAACACCAGUGGCGAAAGCGGCUCUCUGGUCUGUAACUGACGCUGAGGUUCGAAAGCGUGGGUAGCAAACAGGAUUAGAUACCCCUGUAGUC
rnacentral:rRNA from 1 species